rnacentral:rRNA from 1 species
CCCUUAGAUGUUCUGGGCUGCACGCGCGCUACACUGACGCACGCAACAGGUGCCUGCUCCGAGAGGACUGGGUAAUCAUUUGAGUGUGCGUCGUGAUGGGGAUAGAAUAUUGUAAUUAUUACUCUUCAACGAGGAAUUCCUAGUAAGCGCAAGUCAUCAACUUGCGUUGAUUACGUCCCUGCCCUUUGUACACACCGCCCGUCGCUACUGCCAACUGAGAUGGGUCCUGAAUUGUUAGGAACGCCCGUCAAGGGGCCUACCCGGUCCCUAGUGCGGUGACGAGAAUAACUGUAAAUGGCAUAUCUUGGAGGGAGUAAAAGUCGUAACA